rnacentral:rRNA from 1 species
UACGUAGGGUGCAGGCGUUAAUCGGAAUUACUGGGCGUAAAGCGUGCGCAGGCGGCUUGCUAAGACAGGUGUGAAAUCCCCGAGCUUAACUUGGGAACUGCGCUUGUAACUGGCAAGCUAGAGUGCGGCAGAGGGGGGUGGAAUUCCACGUGUAGCAGUGAAAUGCGUAGAGAUGUGGAGGAACACCGAUGGCGAAGGCAGCCCCCUGGGUCGACACUGACGCUCAUGCACGAAAGCGUGGGGAGCAAACAGG